rnacentral:misc_RNA from 1 species
AACGGUCUAUACCUGCGGUACCUGCGGAAGGAUCAUUACCGAGUUAUCCAACUCCCAACCCCUGUGAAUCAUACCUUUAAUUGUUGCUUCGGCGGGACUUCGCGCCCGCCGGGGACCCAAACCUUCUGAAUUUUUUAAUAAGUAUCUUCUGAGUGGUUAAAAAAAAUGAAUCAAAACUUUCAGCAACGGAUCUCU